GUUUUCUUCUAAAAGAUUACGUUUACUUGCAAUUUUCUUUUUAAUCUUGCAUAAUUGUAGACUUGUUUACUAAUGAUCGAAGGCAUAGUUUAUCAUUCGCUUUUUCUGUAACCAGAGACGUUUUUCUUCAUCUUUGCGACAGAAAUAUAAGGCGAUUUUUUCAAUUGUCUCGUAAGCUGUGUAAAUAGCCGUAUUCUGUUGAAACGUUGUUUACGGAAUGUAAAUAAAAAGGCUUGGUUACACAGAAAUACGUGACGUACGUAUACUCCACUGUUGGAUAUGCCGUGAAAGCUGACUCUUUUGGAACAGAACUCGAAAUUCUAUUUACCUACUAUUGUUAGAUAUAAGUAGACAUAGGGGAAAACCGGGAGACUUGCCCAGGUGGGAGAGUUGAACCACCUUUCAAAAUUGUAUCUGAAUUUAGCGCGAACGAAACGUCAAAGCGUUCAUUGGUCACACUCAAGAGGCCAAUCAUAAGUAUGCAGCCAUUUUGCAUCUUAGUGGUGUAGUUCGUCAGUGACAAUGUAAAACGUGUUUUUGUUGCUGCGGAGUGUAUUUUCUUGUUUUAAGUAGUUUUGUAAUUGCUGUCGUAUUUAUUGAGUGCCAACUUGUACGAUGCCUUUUCAAUAAAAGCCUCCUGAAAAUGCUCGCAAACGAAAAAAACUCACAAAAAUGGAAUUGCAAAAUGCCAUAGAUGAAAUUAAGGGAGGCGCUUCUAUUCGACAAACUUCAAAUAAAUAUGGCAUAGAUAGAACUACUUUGAGGCGAUAUGAAUUAGAUGACGACUUCAACAUUUUUGUUUGUUCUUGUUGAUUUUUAAUUGGUGUGCAUAAUAAAGAAUAUAUCUAUCUAUCUAUCUAUGAAGAUGAAAUUAAUAAAUUUGAAGAAGAAAACAGUCAAUAUAAAGCAUCACAGGUGUUUACAACGGCCGAGGAAAAGCUUCUUGUCAAUUAUUGUCAUUGACAUGCAGUAAAAUGCAUUAUGGUUUGACAAGAAAACAAGCAAUGCUAUAGGCUUUUGACAGUGAAUUCAAAGAAGUUUCCUGAGAACUGGACGAAGAACAACUCCGCUAGGAAAGAUUGGUUUAUUAAUAAAAAGUUACUAUUGUGAUUAUGUUUAUUUUGAAACAAUUUUACAUAAAUUUGUUACGUUAAUUACAUUUUCUUUGAUGUCAGUAUUAAAAACAAGUUAAUUAUUGUAUAAGGUAAGAUAUUAAAACUCUGAUUGAAGCUGAAAA